GCCGUUGUGGCGGAACUGGUAGACGCGCUGGUCUUAGGAACCAGUGGGAGCAAUCCCGUGGAGGUUCGAUUCCUCUCGACGGCA
rnacentral:tRNA from 1 species